GCGGGCCUCUGGGGCAAGGACGGAGCGGCGGGCUUCUCAUCCGAUGGACGCAGGUUCGAAUCCCGCCGGGUGCGCCA
rnacentral:tRNA from 1 species